AGCCUGUCCCCUGAGUCACUAGGCUUCCCACCUCAAUUAGUCUGCAUUUGCUCAUUUUCCCACUCUAACAUUUCUUAGUAGUAACCAGCUUCUAUCUUCUCUUUGCUUUACAUGGUCACUCUUCCUUUUGUGAUCAUCCCCCAAAUAUCUCUUAUCUCAGUUGGCACUCACUGCUGUCAUUUAUCCUCUCUAAUCACCUGAACUCCUAGGUGUUGGGUGAACCUGUCCCUUAGGCUACCGUAGCUUGCAGAGACUUGGCUUUCAGCCUUAAGGUUCAACAUGCUGCUGGAGUUCCUUCCAUUGCCUCCAUCUUCCAGGCAGCUGGAAGUGGAAGGAACAAGACAUCUCACCACCAAGCCAGCUUUCUCUAAGCAUAUUUUCCUCAAAUAUAACCUGGUCUGCAGAGGUGCAGCUCUGACUUCAACAUCACCAUUAAUAACUUCAUCACCAAGCAAUUUUACCUUCUUGGAGCUGAAAUGUCAAGCAUCACCACUUGUGUGGAGGGACUUUGUAGAGCUAAAAAGCCUACUGGAGUUGUUUCAGAACAACAAAAAAACCACCCCCCAACAAUUGUUGAAGAGUAUUUCAUUUGUGUAAUAAAAGAGCUGAAAAAAAUAUUCCAAUUGAGCAUUCUCUGGACACCCACAGUCCCUUGGCCCUGAAGAAACAGUUGACCUUACUCUGGGAUGGGGCAUUAACAAAAGACAAAAAUUAAGUCCUGAGAAUCAGAACUAAGAGUCAGAAAUACGCAAGUGGUUGACAUCUUUGUGUCUCAGCUUUCUGACCUAUAUCCUAAACAUGAUGUGUGUGAGACUCUUCAUUUGCUG
rnacentral:lncRNA from 1 species